rnacentral:rRNA from 1 species
GAUGAACGCUGGCGGCGUGCCUAAUACAUGCAAGUCGAGCGAACGGACGAGAAGCUUGCUUCUCUGAUGUUAGCGGCGGACGGGUGAGUAACACGUGGAUAACCUACCUAUAAGACUGGGAUAACUUCGAGAAACCGGAGCUAAUACCGGAUAAUAUUUUGAACCGCAUGGUUCAAAAGUGAAAGACGGUCUUGCUGUCACUUAUAGAUGGAUCCGCGCUGCAUUAGCUAGUUGGUAAGGUAACGGCUUACCAAGGCAACGAUGCAUAGCCGACCUGAGAGGGUGAUCGGCCACACUGGAACUGGGACACGGUCCAGGCUCCUACGGGAGGCAGCAGUAGGGAAUCUUCCGCAAUGGGCGAAAGCCUGACGGAGCAACGCCGCGUGAGUGAUGAAGGUCUUCGGAUCGUAAAACUCUGUUAUUAGGGAAGAACAUAUGUGUAAGUAACUGUGCACAUCUUGACGGUACCUAAUCAGAAAGCCACGGCUAACUACGUG